rnacentral:lncRNA from 10 species
ACUAUAUAUUUUUAUAUCUUUAAUAUUGCAAAAUACAUAUUAUUUAAAAUCCUCAAAAAUAUGAGCUCAAGUCUAAUAUUUAAGCCAGCUUCCUAUUCUGAGGCCCGGUUCCCCACGAAGCCACAGAAGGAGGUGAAAUUAAGAAAGUAAGGUACAGUCUGGAGACAGAAGCAGAAGUCAGAGGUUCCAGGUGAUAUCUUUUUGGAUUGUUGAGGUUUUCUCUGUGAAGUCACAUUUUUAUUUAAAACAUCUUCCACUUCUCAAGACUUUUUUUUUUUUUUUAAGAAAAUCUUCCCAUCCGCAGAAGAAACAUUUUCUUUCCUCGAGUUAUCUUCUGGGUUCCUGUUGUUUUCUUAUAUUCCAUAACUUCCUAUUUGAAUUACAUUAUUUGUAUAUGUGCCUUUUCUCCUCUAUUCCUCUCCCCCAGUGUGAAGUCUAUACUCCAUGAAGCACAGCGUAGUUUGCUCUCAGAACUCACCAGCCGAAAGAAAGGGACAGGUGGUGUGAGAAGAAUACAGGCUAUGGGAGUUAGGUAGAACUAGAUUCAAAUUGCAUUUCUAGCUUCUAGUAGCUGGGCUGCUCCAGGGGAGUGACUUCACCUCUGAAAGCUUCAUUUCCUCAAUUGAGAACUAGAAAUAUUAAUAGCUAACAUCUCAGGAAGUUGUGUGGUGAGGAGAAGUGUUAAUUACAGUACCUGACCCAGAGCAGGCCUACCCGAUAAACAUCAGUUCCUUUGCCCCUUUAUUUUCUUAGUUUGAAAGGUCUGGAAGUGUCUGCAGUAGAGUUAUAUCAAUGCCAAUGCUAUGGAAAAUUCAGGUUUAAUGGUAAUCUAUAUACAUGGUAAGCCUAAUUGCUUUUGAAUAAGCAGUCAUUUUACUAGGAAUGUAAUGUGGGUUUAUAGAUGAUAAUUUAAUGCACUGAGCACUCACACUUAGAAGCCUGGUAGGACCCUGAUGAAGGCUGAUAUUCAGGAACUGGUAAAAUUCAGUCUGUGAAUGUUCCCAAGGACAUCGGGACACUUCCCUUGUGUCUGUUCCUUAGAGUCUUUGAUGACAUUGCUUCAUUUCUCACUAAUUAACAGGCUUGCCAGGAACUAAAUUCCAAAAGUCUUCUCCACACAACCUGUUCCUGCACUGUGUCUGCUCAUCCUGUACUUGCAUGAUUCAUUAUCUGGACAAGUAUUUGUUAAGUGCUCACACUGU